rnacentral:hammerhead_ribozyme from 1 species
GUCCAGCUGACGAGUCCCAAAAUAUGACGAAGCGCGCAUCCUGGAU